rnacentral:rRNA from 1 species
AUUGAACGCUGGCGGAAUGCUUUACACAUGCAAGUCGAACGGCAGCACGGACUUUGGUCUGGUGGCGAGUGGCGAACGGGUGAGUAAUGUAUCGGAACGUGCCCAGUCGUGGGGGAUAACGUAGUGAAAAUUACGCUAAUACCGCAUACGAUCUAUGGAUGAAAGCGGGGGAUCGCAAGACCUCGCGCGAUUGGAGCGGCCGAUAUCAGACUAGGUAGUUGGUGGGGUAAAGGCCCACCAAGCCAACGAUCUGUAGCUGGUCUGAGAGGACGACCAGCCACACUGGAACUGAGACACGGUCCAGACUCCUACGGGAGGCAGCAGUGGGGAAUUUUGGACAAUGGGCGAAAGCCUGAUCCAGCCAUUCCGCGUGCAGGAUGAAGGCCCUCGGGUUGUAAACUGCUUUUGUACAGAACGAAAAGGUUUCUACUAAUACUAGGAGCUCAUGACGGUACUGUAUGAAUAAGCACCGGCUAACUACGUGCCAGCAGCCGCCGUAA